AUUGAACGCUGGCGGCAUGCUUUACACAUGCAAGUCGAACGGCAGCGCGGGCUUCGGCCUGGCGGCGAGUGGCGAACGGGUGAGUAAUAUAUCGGAACGUGCCCAAGAGUGGGGGAUAACGUAGCGAAAGUUACGCUAAUACCGCAUACGAUCUAUGGAUGAAAGCAGGGGACCGCAAGGCCUUGUGCUCCUGGAGCGGCCGAUAUCUGAUUAGCUAGUUGGUGAGGUAAAGGCUCACCAAGGCGACGAUCAGUAGCUGGUCUGAGAGGACGACCAGCCACACUGGAACUGAGACACGGUCCAGACUCCUACGGGAGGCAGCAGUGGGGAAUUUUGGACAAUGGGGGCAACCCUGAUCCAGCAAUGCCGCGUGAGUGAAGAAGGCCUUCGGGUUGUAAAGCUCUUUUGUCAGGGAAGAAAAGGGUGCGGCUAAUAUCCGUACCUCAUGACGGUACCUGAAGAAUAAGCACCGGCUAACUACGUGCCAGCCGCCGCCGUAAAAC
rnacentral:rRNA from 1 species